rnacentral:rRNA from 1 species
UGGGGAAUUUUGGACAAUGGGGGAACCCCUGAUCCACCCAUCCCGCGUGUGCGAUGAAGGCCUUCGGGUUGUAAAGCACUUUUGGCAGGAAAGAAACGUCAUGGGUUAAUACCCCGUGAAACUGACGGUACCUGCAGAAUAAGCACCGGCUAACUACGUGCCAGCAGCCGCGGUAAUACGUAGGGUGCAAGCGUUAAUCGGAAUUACUGGGCGUAAAGCGUGCGCAGGCGGUUCGGAAAGAAAGAUGUGAAAUCCCAGAGCUCAACUUUGGAACUGCAUUUUUAACUACCGGGCUAGAGUGUGUCAGAGGGAGGUGGAAUUCCGCGUGUAGCAGUGACAUGCGUAGAUAUGCGGAGGAACACCGAUGGCGAAGGCAGCCUCCUGGGAUAACACUGACGCUCAUGCACGAAAGCGUGGGGAGCAAACAGG